rnacentral:tRNA from 2 species
UCCUCCUUAGCUCAGUUGGUUAGAGCAUCUGACUGUUAAUCAGAGGGUCGCUGGUUCGAGUCCAGCAGGGGGAGCAA